rnacentral:lncRNA from 1 species
AAAAUUGCGUGCAAGUAUUGCACUUAAAAGUGUAAGAAAGACUCUAAGAAUUUGAUCUAUUAAAAGGAAACUACUACAAUUAUCCUUCAACGUAAACUUGAGAUAAAUUUUAUUUUAAUUACGGAAUGCAUAAAUUUAAUAGAAAAAAGAAAAGAAAAACAAGAUGUGAUAUUGGUAAGAGAAAAAUAAAAGAAAAAAAAGGAGGGCUUAAAGUAACAAAUGCAAGAAGGCUAGUAUAAAUUAAAUGUACUGUCAAAAAGGGACAUGUAUGAAUGUAAUCUACACUUCUGAAACCUGUAAUUUGACAUGGCUGAUGAUAAAGAUACACAAUGAACAGAAAAAAACCAUAAAAUUUCGGAAAGCUUGUUAAUUCAAUAUAAAAGGUGAGUGUAUCAAAUAUUAAAGAAAAACAAUAAACACUUUCACUUUCUUUUUUAACAUGUAAAUCUAGCUAUAGGAUUCACAACUUGGUGAAUUUCAUCCUGAUGUUGUACCAUCCUACAGCCUUCCAAUUAAUAAAAAGUAAUAACUAAUUAGAAUCAUGAUUAUCCUUUGAAACUAGUUAUUUUUGUUAAUCAAUCAUCAUCAACCACAUUAUUUGUCUUUGUGGGAGAGACCUUAAUUUACUUUUUAUGUUAAAAAAUCA